GACGAACGCUGGCGGCGUGCUUAACACAUGCAAGUCGAACGGUGAACGAGGGAGCUUGCUCCCUCCGGAUCAGUGGCGAACGGGUGAGUAACACGUGAGCAAUCUGCCCCGAACUCUGGGAUAAGCGUUGGAAACGACGUCUAAUACCGGAUACGCCGCGGGAGGGCAUUCUCUCCGCGUGGAAAGAACUUCGGUUCGGGAUGAGCUCGCGGCCUAUCAGCUUGUUGGUGAGGUAACGGCUCACCAAGGCGACGACGGGUAGCCGGCCUGAGAGGGUGACCGGCCACACUGGGACUGAGACACGGCCCAGACUCCUACGGGAGGCAGCAGUGGGGAAUAUUGCACAAUGGGCGCAAGCCUGAUGCAGCAACGCCGCGUGAGGGACGACGGCCUUCGGGUUGUAAACCUCUUUUAGCAGGGAAGAAGCGAAAGUGACGGUACCUGCAGAAAAAGCACCGGCUAACUACGUG
rnacentral:rRNA from 1 species